UACGGAAGGCAGCAGGGGGAAUAUUGGACAAUGGGCGAAAGCCUGAUCCAGCCAUGCCGCAUGAGUGAAGAAGGCCUUCGGGUUGUAAAGCUCUUUUAGUGAGAAAGAUAAUGACGGUACUCACAGAAGAAGUCCUGGCUAACUCCGUGCCAGCAGCCGCGGUAAUACGGAGAGGGCUAGCGUUAUUCGGAAUUAUUGGGCGUAAAGAGCGCGUAGGCUGAUUAGUAAGUUAAAAGUGAAAUCCCAAAGCUUAACUUUGGAAUUGCUUUUAAAACUGCUAGUCUAGAGAUUGAAAGAGGAUAGAGGAAUUCCUAGUGUAGAGGUGAAAUUCGUAAAUAUUAGGAGGAACACCAGUGGCGAAGGCGUCUAUCUGGUUCAAAUCUGACGCUGAGGCGCGAAGGGCGUGGGGAGCAAACAGGGAUUAGAUACC
rnacentral:rRNA from 1 species